rnacentral:rRNA from 1 species
UACGUAGGGGGCGAGCGUUGUCCGGAUUUAUUGGGCGUAAAGAGCGUGUAGGCGGCCAGACAGGUCCGUUGUGAAAACUAGAGGCUUAACCUCUAGACGUCGAUGGAAACCGUCUGGCUAGAGUCCGGAAGAGGAGAAUGGAAUUCCAGGUGUAGCGGUGAAAUGCGUAGAUAUCUGGAGGAACACCGGUGGCGAAGGCGGCAUCCUGGACCGGUAUUGACGCUGAUGCGCGAAAGCCAGGGGAGCAAACGGG